rnacentral:rRNA from 1 species
UACGUAGGCAGCAAGCGUUGUUCGGAGUUACUGGGCGUAAAGGGUGCGUAGGCGGCUAUUUAAGUUUGGUGUGAAAUCUCCCGGCUCAACCGGGAGGGUGCGCCGAAUACUGAGUGGCUAGAGUACGGGAGAGGAAAGUGGAAUUCCUGGUGUAGCGGUGAAAUGCGUAGAGAUCGGGAGGAACACCGGUGGCGAAGGCGGCCUUCUGGUCGGAUACUGACGCUAAACGCGAAAGCGUGGGGAGCAAACAGG